AUUUAAAUCAAGCAGGAGGAGGCAUGUGAAAGGGGCAAGCGACCUAGAUCUCCUACAGUCACACCUUUCACCACCUUCCUGGAUUGGCUUGGAAAUUUGAGGUGAGGGAAACGUAUUAAUACAUCCAUUAAUGCCAAUGAGCUAGUGUGUUUACUGCAGGUCAUGAUCUAAUUUUGAGAAAGCCGCCAUGUUUCCUUGCCAGAGCUCCCCUUACUCCCC